UACGAAGGGGGGCUAGCGUUGUUCGGAAUUACUGGGCGUAAAGCGCACGUAGGCGGACUAUUAAGUCAGGGGGUGAAAUCCCGGGGGCUCAACCCCCGGAACUGCCUUUGAUACUGCUAGUCUCGAGUCCGGAAGAGGUGAGUGGAAUUCCGAGUGUAGAGGUGAAAUUCGUAGAUAUUCGGAGGAACACCAGUGGCGAAGGCGGCUCACUGGUCCGGUACUGACGCUGAGGUGCGAAAGCGUGGGGGAGCAAACAGGG
rnacentral:rRNA from 1 species